UGAACGCUGGCGGCGUGGAUUAGGCAUGCAAGUCGAACGAUACCGCAAGGUAUAGUGGCAAAAGGGCGAGUAACACGUGAGUAAUCUACCUUCGUGUGGGGAACAACCUUGGGAAACCGAGGCUAAAACCGCAUAAGACCACAGCCUGGCAUCAGGCAGUGAUCAAAUGGGGGGACCGCAAGGCCUCUAGCAUGAAGAUGAGCUCGCGUCCUAUCAGCUUGUUGGCGGGGUAAUGGCCCACCAAGGCUUUUGACGGGUAGCUGGACUGAGAGGUUGGUCAGCCGCAUUGGGACUGAGACACUGCCCAGACUCCUACGGGAGGCUGCAGUCGAGGAUAUUUAGCAAUGCCCGAAAGGGUGACUAUGCGACGCCGCGUGUGCGAUGAAGGUCUUCGGAUCGUAAAGCACUGUCAGCUGGGAGGAAUCUCGGGGGUUUGAACAGAGCCGCCGGGUGACAGUACCAGCAGAGGAAGCCACGGCUAACUCCGUGCCAGCAGCCGCGGUAAUACGGAGGUGGCAGGCGUUACUCG
rnacentral:rRNA from 1 species